CAAAUCCCCAUCUACUUCAGUUUUUAAGGAGAAUCCUGCAGCGUGGUUUUGCUAUGCUUCACCUGACCUUUCAUUGGGAUUGGAUUAGCCCCUGUGACGAUCAGCGGCUUCUCCCCCGGACGCGGCUCCUUCCUGCUCCCUGAGAUGGUAAUGAGGCUCUCCCAGCAGGCCCCGCUUGUGACGGCCUCCUGUGGUGUGUGGCCUCGUCUCUUUUAAGCACCGCGCAGCAAAAAACAAAGAGGUGGGUGGCAUCUGUUCGACCCCGGUGCCCCCCACCACCACCUCCCGGUCCACCUAUACCAACUGUGCACUCCAAAAAGUGCAGGCAUCCCUCGGUGCGUAACUGGACCCCGGUGCUGGUGAGGAAACAUGCAGCCAGGUCUGUCCCGGUUCACACGGUCUUGUGCAACAGGAGUGGAAGGAAGGUCACCAAGACACCACAAGCCACAAGGGCGGCGUGCAUGCCCGGCAGCGAGGACUCAUCGGGCACAGGGAGAAUGGCAGGAAACAGAAGAGGAAUUUUAGACGUGGGAGUGGCGAUGGACGGGCAUGUCAACAGGAUGACGAGGGAGGAGAGGAGCCCAUCGGGCUAAAUCGACGGUGUCAUCACACACGGAGGGAGGGUUUUUAUCAUGGUUUCCUCCGCUCCAGCGGUCAGAUUGUUACCGAUGACCUCGCUUGGGGAAGUCUCUCCAAACAAAAAUCACCACAUUCAACCUAAUCCACUGUUUGUCAGCAAUUUUCUCUUAAGAAAUUGAUCGAAUUAUUGUGGCACGGAUCCCAGAAGAUUUUCAGAUGACCUCGCUUUGAGCUCCUCUAAUGGCAUAAAGUCAUUACGUUCUCCUCAGCGUCUUCACAGCUGCCAGUCAUAGACAAAUGAAGAACCCACGUUAAAGGGGAGUUCUGGUAUUUUUAAACGUCUGCCCUUUGUUUAUGUGUUUUGGCGUGUAAAUGACUAAUGGUACAAAAAGUUUGGGAUUGGUCCAGUGUAUCACUUCGGCUGUAAUGGCUGCGACGUAAUCCUUUUGGGCAACUUCGCCCGUCAAAGUAAAUUCACUGAAAGUACCUGUUUGAGCAACUGAACAGCUCAGAUUGACAAAAUGGAAAAGGCUUUUUUAGUUCAAGAGCAAUAUAAUAUAAACAGUCACUGCAUCACUCUCGCCAAAUACGCCAGACUCCAGUUGCGCAGACACCAAAUUUUAUCCCCGUAAAACACACUUCGUUAAAACUCGAUGGGAGCAAAAUAAAAUUAACCAGAACCAUCUUGGUUCGUCUUUCCACCGUUCCAACAAUCAUCAGCGCUGGAAUGGUGAAAAUUAAACCUGCUGAACAUGUCGGGAGACAAGAAAGAGAUCAGAGAAGCAGCGUGUAGAGCCACAGUAUUUCACAUCUAAUACAGUGAUCAAGGGUGUUUUUAUGAGUAAAUCAGAGGUGAUGAUUGGGGAUGCACCGAUCCAGCUUUUUCAGUCCCGAUGCCGAUGCCGAUGCCUGGGCUUUGUGUAUCUGUCGAUACCCGAUACAGAUCCGAUACCAUUGUUGAAUUAAUAAUAAACUGUAAACCGGUCUCAGAAAAAUACUUGCGUGAUGGAAGAGAGUUCCCUGGCUGUAAGUUUUCCAGUAGGCAGCGGAAGCCCUCAUCUUCAACAACUGAUAUAGAUUGAGCAUCUAAAACAAUGAAUUCUAAAACUUUCUGUGUUAUUGCCGAUGCUUUCAAGCUUUCUGCCGAUAUCUUUUCGCGUCGUUGAUGUGCAUCUGCCAUAGUUACUGACUGGGCUGUACUGUCUCCUGCUCCUUGGGUUUUGUUGAGCUGCAGGAAUUCAGCACGUUUUGGAUGUGCUUGAUUAAAUUGGUAGUAUUUUACUUUGCAGUACUUCACCACCACCCCUCGAAACAUUUACUUUGCAGACAUUGCAAACAACCAUCGAACUAGUUGGCGUGGCAAGCGUGGAAUAUCUCCACACAGCCAACUCUUUGGCUCGCUCCAUGUUGCUUAAAGGUUAACUCAACUCUUCCGGCAUGCGACACACGUGCUGCUGACGAAUGACGUGGAGGAUGUGCGGCGACGGAGGGGGAAAAAAAAUGGAUCAGUCCGUGGAUCUGUUAAUUUUUCCGAUCCCCGAUCCAGCUAUUUUGUCAAUAUCAGGGCCGAUAUCCGAUCUUAAUAUUGGAUCGGUGCACCCCUAAUGAUUGUUAAGACGGAGGUUUAUAUCUGGACACAACCUUUCCUCGGUUUUGUCAGGAAAUUAGAAUCCCAAUCUGAACAAGUUCUUUUAGUGGACUGGAAUAAAUAUUGACAUUACUAAAAAUGGCCUUUACAUUUCUUUGUGCAGCAAAUUUCUAUUCCAUGCUGUGAAAACUCUGGUUAGGUUAAGGCACACCAACCACUUGGUUAGGGUUAGGAAGAUAUCUUGUUCUGGCUCUUAAUACCCGGUUUUGUCGACACAAACAUGGCUGGAAGCUCUCCUUAAAGGUAUCCAAUGGUGUCGCGCUUACAAAUAUUCAAAUGCGGUCUUGCAGUCUGCGAUCACUGGCUCGGCUCCGAUGUGACACCGCUGCAAUCCCGUCCAUCAGGUAAGAUGGACUGGAUGGUAUGACGGGUUCUGUAGGAAAGUGACACACACAGAUCAGCUCGUAUCCUUGCUAUCCUAAAACGCUUACUCCCCAACAUUUUAUUCCGGCGACCGGGCUGGGACUUGUGACUUACUUUGACGGUCGAAGCUGCCCUCGAGCCAUCGCGGCCCGUGUCACGGCUGUCAGCUGAGGCGAUCCGCUGAACCAACUCCAGAACCAGUCAUUUGGAAUCGGUUCGUUGGAAUUCCCCUCGGACGAAACAAAGCAUAUUUGGGUUGAAAGCGGGGAUUAAGUCACAAAGCUGAAUGGAUACAAACUAAUAGAGCGCAUCCAUAUAAAAACCUCCCACUCAAUGUUAGUAUUCGACACAUGAUAUAUCGUGACAAGCCGCAGCGCAGAAAGAAGGAUAUCUGGGUGGAGAGACAGACGAGGGGAAAUAAGGCCACCACCGGGACUAUUAUUGGGAGCAGCGACAACGUAUCCGCCGGCUUUUCUCCAAAUUCAUCAAUUUUAGCAAAAUGUGAGCAUUUAAUGUAACCAAUACAAGCCCUGUUAAUGCGGUACAGCAGCAUGUCAGUCGCGCUCCUACGAUAGCUCCAUCCAGCUGCCUCCAAGAAUCACAAAAACCUCCUAAAAAUGAACCCAAACAGGUCCCCGAGGGUCAGAUUCUGUGCUAGCAUGCGCUGAUCCUCGUGAUGUCCCGCAGUGCGCCCCCCCCCACCACCACCACCAUCUCGCCUCACAGAGAUUCUUUGUGCAUUUCAGCCAAAAUAAGUCAAAUGUUUGAGAUGAGGAGGGUGACUAAAGGGGCGGAGGGGAGGGGAGGGGAGGAAGAGAUACAAGUCGGAUCUGCCAGGAACUCUCCCCUGCCAGGCUGAGCUAAUCAGGAUUCUUCAGCUGUAAACAGACACAUGCUCCACAUUCAAAUAAGUGUUAACUGUACGGCACAAACAAACAUCACGCCAGAGGGAGAAGUUGGAAGACGGAUGUGAAAAACAUGUCGAACACACCCGUAUAUUUAUAUCACUCUGUCCUGAUUCGCUGGCCUUUUUGCUUUUAAUUAGGUUUUCGCUCCAUCGCGUUGCAUUUAUUUGUGUUUACACCCCGUCGUAAUGUUUUCUGAUAGUGUGAUAAUGAGAGGAAAACUGCCAUUGGACAGAUUGGCAGCUUUAUUCCCAUCAGACCGAACGGAAAUACUUCGAUAUCGGCUUUCUUUACAUUUGACAAGUAGUGUUCUCCCAGCGUACAAUUCUCACAGGAUAAAACCGCCAAAAAAUAUGAAUUUGUUCAUUAUCUGCUGACCCAUUUGUUGAUGGAAGUCGGUUGAAGUUCUUGUCGUCCAUCGAACAUUCCUGGAGCUUCGCGGCAGAACAGCAUUGCAGCGUUCUCCUCAAAGAACUCCAGCAGACUCCAGGGACUUGUUUUAGAACGUAACCAAAAGCACUGAGAAUAAACAGACGAUGGAUCGAUACAGCUCGUUUUACAAAGCUGAAAACCUUUACUGUAUAAUGAAAUAUUUUAAAAAAAGCGUUUCAAAACAAGUUGGGUUCCAGGGGCUUCUGAAGACGUUACACCAAAAGAGUAGUAUGGAGCCAUUUUGUUUUAUUUCAUUAUAAAAAUGUUUUGGUUGUUUCUCUUUUUUCCGGUUUUACUUUAUUUCUCAGCUAAGGGAACUAAAAUAAAAAUCCCCAGCUUGCUGUGAUUACAAAACUACAGCCAACCUGCCGUCAGCGUGUGAUGGAUUACAUAAUGACUGAAUUUUUUCAUUUUUGGAUGAACGUAACUUUUAAGAAAGCAGAGCUGUGUGACGUAGCGAACUGUUUCAAUGUUUACGCGUCGUGUUCAAAGCAGAAGUUUCAAUUCUAACUGUGAAUCUCUCAAAUCUUACUUUGAACCUUCUUAAAUCAUUGCGUCAGGUUUAUCUAUUGUGCACAUUGUGAUUUCCAGGUCCCCACGAAACACAAACUUUUAAAAAGCGUCCGCUCUGAGACGUACAGGGUGACCCAGCGGGUGUGCCCCGUUCCCCGGCAGCCGGCCUGAUCCUGGCUUGAAUCAGUCACAUAUGGCUGCAUUGUUUGACAUGCGAGUCUCCAGGCAGUCCCUCAGAAACCCAGCAACGGGGCUGCAGUGCUUCCAGAUGUGGCCCGCCUGGAUCUCUGCAGCAGCACAUGUCCAAGUGAACAUGGAGCGGCGAACACACUCCUCCAGCGCACCUUCACAACGGUUUGUCACUUUCUGCUGAUG
rnacentral:lncRNA from 1 species